CCUACGGGAGGCAGCAGUGAGGAAUAUUGGACAAUGGGCGCAAGCCUGAUCCAGCCAUGCCGCGUGCAGGAAGAAGCAUCUAUGGUGUGUAAACUGCUUUUGUACGGGAAGAAACACUGCUACGUGUAGCAGCUUGACGGUACCGUAAGAAUAAGGAUCGGCUAACUCCGUGCCAGCAGCCGCGGUAAUACGGAGGAUCCAAACGUUAUCCGGAAUCAUUGGGUUUAAAGGGUCCGUAGGCGGUUUGGUAAGUCAGUGGUGAAAGCCCAUCGCUUAACGAUGGAACGGCCAUUGAUACUGCCAGACUUGAAUUACUAGGAAGUAACUAGAAUAUGUAGUGUAGCGGUGAAAUGCUUAGAUAUUACAUGGAAUACCAAUUGCGAAGGCAGGUUACUACUAGUUUAUUGACGCUGAUGGACGAAAGCGUGGGGAGCGAACAGGAUUAGAUACCCUGGUAGUCCACGCCGUAAACGAUGGAUACUAGCUGUUCGGGGUAACCUGAGUGGCUAAGCGAAAGUGAUAAGUAUCCCACCUGGGGAGUACGUUCGCAGGAAUGAAACUCAAAGUANAGUGCGNGNGAGAGCGACGACGACGACGAGAGGAGGAGG
rnacentral:rRNA from 1 species